UAGGGAAUCUUCCGCAAUGGGCGAAAGCCUGACGGAGCAACGCCGCGUGAGUGAUGAAGGUCUUCGGAUCGUAAAACUCUGUUAUUAGGGAAGAACAAAUGUGUAAGUAACUAUGCACGUCUUGACGGUACCUAAUCAGAAAGCCACGGCUAACUACGUGCCAGCAGCCGCGGUAAUACGUAGGUGGCAAGCGUUAUCCGGAAUUAUUGGGCGUAAAGCGCGCGUAGGCGGUUUUUUAAGUCUGAUGUGAAAGCCCACGGCUCAACCGUGGAGGGUCAUUGGAAACUGGAAAACUUGAGUGCAGAAGAGGAAAGUGGAAUUCCAUGUGUAGCGGUGAAUGCGCAGAGAUAUGGAGGAACACCAGUGGCGAAGGCGACUUUCUGGUCUGUAACUGACGCUGAUGUGCGAAAGCGUGGGGAUCAAACAGG
rnacentral:rRNA from 2 species